UAUUGGAUAUUUACAUUUGUUUUAUUUAUAUAGGCCUACGUAGGCCUACGGAUUAGCCGUGGAUUGUUUUCCAAGAAAAGAUAGUUAUUAAAUUUGAAGACGUUGAUAACUUGUUUUGAAGUCUAAAAUUUUGUUCAAUGGUGGAAUAAUUCAAUUCACCGCAGUUUUAAUGAUAUGAAAAAUGUUGAGAGAUCUUCAAGCCAUGAGUACACUACCACCACCACGCAACUUGCAACAGAAAAACACAGGCACAUGUUUAUUGUGGAUUGCAAAGACAAGCAUUCAGUACAGGUAGGCGUUUGUUAAUUGCAUGAAGCAGAUAAACAAUUGGAUGUACAGCCGGAUUUGUUGGAAGCUUGGAUAAAAUGAAGCUGAUCAACUGGGGCAAACCCAAGCUGUUAUAUAAAGAAGGUUGAGCGAAGAAAUGCAUUGUGGGGAAUCAGGACUGAUUAGUUUGACACUCUGGUAACUGAAGAUUAGUAACGUCAGACUUUGAGAUGAAGCGUGGAAGUCAAACUUAAUGCAUAGUAAUGAAGCAAUGAACUUUGCAAAAUAGACCGAUAUGUUUGAACUAUGCAACGUACAACAAACUGGUACUUGGAGCUUAGUGAACACUGCUGUAUUGAGAUGAAGCAUAUAAAUUGUGGAAAGUCUAAAACCACAACAGAUAUUUGUUGUGCAUUCAUAGAAUGAACAAUUAUGAAUUGAAGUACUGUUUGCCAAGUGAACUUUGUAAUUUAUUAUGUAAUGUAAAAGUGUUUACCUUUCAAAAUGCCGAUGUUUUUGUCUGAUUCUGGACCUAGUUAAAUAGAAUGUUGGUCCGAUUUUGAACUUAAUUUAAAAUGUUGGUCCCAUUGUGGACUUAGUUAAAAUUCUGGACUUGGUUAAAAUGGCUUUUAGGUAAAAUUCUAAACUUAAAAUUUUGAUCAAAGUCUGGUCUGUAGAGUAGUGUAAGCUAUUGGUCCUACCUUGGACCUAGUGUAAAAUCCUGGAUUUAGUGUAAAUUGUUGGUCCUUUUGGACUUAAUUAUUUAUGUCCUAUCUUGGACUUAGUGUAAAAUUCUGGAUUUAGUUAAAAUUAUGGAAUUAGUGUAAAUUAUUGGUCCAAUUCUGGACUUAGUUAAAAUUCUGGAAUUAGUGGAAAUGGUUGAGUCCCAUUCUGGACUUAGUGUAAAUUAUUGGUCCAAUUCUGGACUUAGUUAAAAUUCUUAGUGUAAAUUAUUGGUCCAAUUCUGGACUUAGUUAAAAUUCUGGAAUUAGUGUAAAUGGUUGAGUCCUAUUCUGGACUUAGUUAAAAUUCUGGACUUGUAUAAAUGGUUGAGUCCAUUCUGGACUUAGUG